rnacentral:rRNA from 1 species
GGUUAAGCGACUAAGCGUACACGGUGGAUGCCCUGGCAGUCAGAGGCGAUGAAGGGCGUGCUAAUCUGCGAUAAGCGCCGGUAAGGUGAUAUGAACCGUUAUAACCGGCGAUACCCGAAUGGGGAAACCCAGUGUGAUUCGUCACACUAUCAUUAACUGAAUCCAUAGGUUAAUGAGGCGAACCGGGGGAACUGAAACAUCUAAGUACCCCGAGGAAAAGAAAUCAACCGAGAUUCCCCCAGUAGCGGCGAGCGAACGGGGAGGAGCCCAGAGCCUGAAUCAGCAUGUGUGUUAGUGGAAGCGUCUGGAAAGGCGCGCGAUACAGGGUGACAGCCCCGUACACAAAAGCGCAUGUGCUGUGAGCUCGAUGAGUAGGGCGGGACACGUGGUAUCCUGUCUGAAUAUGGGGGGACCAUCCUCCAAGGCUAAAUACUCCUGACUGACCGAUAGUGAACCAGUACCGUGAGGGAAAGGCGAAAAGAACCCCGGCGAGGGGAGUGAAAAAGAACCUGAAACCGUGUACGUACAAGCAGUGGGAGCACCCUUUGGGGUGUGACUGCGUACCUUUUGUAUAAUGGGUCAGCGACUUAUAUUCUGUAGCAAGGUUAACCGAAUAGGGGAGCCGGAGGGAAACCGAGUCUUAACCGGGCGUUAAGUUGCAGGGUAUAGACCCGAAACCCGGUGAUCUAGCCAUGGGCAGGUUGAAGGUUGGGUAACACUAACUGGAGGACCGAACCGACUAAUGUUGAAAAAUUAGCGGAUGACCUGUGGCUGGGGGUGAAAGGCCAAUCAAACCGGGAGAUAGCUGGUUCUCCCCGAAAGCUAUUUAGGUAGCGCCUCGUGAAUUCAUCUCCGGGGGUAGAGCACUGUUUCGGCUAGGGGGCCAUCCCGGCUUACCAACCCGAUGCAAACUGCGAAUACCGGAGAAUGUUAUCACGGGAGACACACGGCGGGUGCUAACGUCCGUCGUGAAGAGGGAAACAACCCAGACCGCCAGCUAAGGUCCCAAAGUCAUGGUUAAGUGGGAAACGAUGUGGGAAGGCCCAGACAGCCAGGAUGUUGGCUUAGAAGCAGCCAUCAUUUAAAGAAAGCGUAAUAGCUCACUGGUCGAGUCGGCCUGCGCGGAAGAUGUAACGGGGCUAAACCAUGCACCGAAGCUGCGG